rnacentral:rRNA from 1 species
AAUAGAUACCCGGUAGUCCACGCCGUAAACGUUGGGCGCUAGAUGUGGGGACCUUUCCACGGUUUCCGUGUCGUAGCUAACGCAUUAAGCGCCCCGCCUGGGGAGUACGGCCGCAAGGCUAAAACUCAAAGGAAUUGACGGGGGCCCGCACAAGCGGCGGAGCAUGCGGAUUAAUUCGAUGCAACGCGAAGAACCUUACCAAGGCUUGACAUACACGAGAACGGGCCAGAAAUGGUCAACUCUUUGGACACUCGUGAACAGGUGGUGCAUGGUUGUCGUCAGCUCGUGUCGUGAGAUGUUGGGUUAAGUCCCGCAACGAGCGCAACCCUCGUCGCAUGUUGCCAGCACGUUAUGGUGGGGACUCAUGUGAGACUGCCGGGGUCAACUCGGAGGAAGGUGGGGAUGACGUCAAAUCAUCAUGCCCCUUAUGUCUUGGGCUUCACGCAUGCUACAAUGGCCGGUACAAAGGGCUGCGAUGUCGUAAGGCGGAGCGAAUCCCAAAAAGCCGGUCUCAGUUCGGAUUGAGGUCUGC